rnacentral:lncRNA from 1 species
AAGUGAAAUGGAUGGGACGGAACUGCUCACCCAGGCCAUAACUGUUGAUUGGGCAUUCAGCAAAGGUCCGUUCAGGAGGAGGAAUAUGAGGAGGAGGUACAUGUCUUAUGUAUUUGUUAUUGUUUUUAUCAGUAUUGCAUUCUCAUAAUUGUUCAAACUUCAUUUGGAUGCCUUAUUCAACUUUGCUCAUAGUAAAUGAUGAUAAAAUUGGAGAACAUAAAUAUCUUAGAGUUUCCAUAACAAUCACCCUUUUAGUUCCCAUCAAAAGACUCAGUACCAACACUUAGUAGAAAUGAUUUUGGCUGAGCGACAAAAUGGGAACGAAAGUGUGUGUUAUAGAAAAAGAAAGAGAGAGAGAGAGGAAAAAAGAAAAAAGAAAAAAAAAAAAAGUGAACAUAUUACUCGAUCAUUUCAAAUGGAGCGGAUGGUUUAUGGGGUCUUUAUUGUUAACGUUUGGAUUUUAGGAAAAUUGAUAUACACAGUGGAAAGAGAUGACUGCUCAACCUUACAGAGAGUUGAAAUUUAUUCUAUGAUGAUUCUAUUGAUAAAACAUCCCUGAAACUUAGAUUUUCAUAUUUGUCCAACUCGUUUAUUUGAUCAAGGAUAUGGACAUUAUGUAAUUAUGAGAUAUGCCAUCAGUUAUCUGUUGUUUGAUGUGUACAUCUUCCUUUUCAAUUUUAAAUUCCAUUGCGAGUUGGUUGUUUAUUUAUACUUCCCUUGAAAAGUAUAUGUCAUAGGAGAAUAGGGGUUUUUGCCUUACAACUAGUUUUUAUUGUCAAAAUAUGACUUCACAAUGGAUUUCAAACUUCUGUAUUUUGUUGAAAGAAUGAUUUAGUAAACGUGUAAUAGUUUAAUAGAUGCUGUUUAUUUGAAAUAGUUUCAUAGAAGGGAUGAAAAUCUUUCUAAAAUUGAUGGCCAUCCCAACAUCAACCCCUCGGGUCCCAGAAAAGGACAGAUACGUCCACAUGUUAGCAUAUGCCAAUAUAUUUUCCCAGACCUGCUACAAAACCCAGGAUUAAAUCCCGGGUUUAAAUCCAGGGCCAAGGUGCAAACACCUUGGCCCUUGAUCUUGAAUUUCAUGGGGCCCGCAGCAUAAUAAUUAAGGGUCGAGGUGUUGGCAAUACCUCGGCCUGUCAACAGGGCCUGUCAUUGGCUCUGUUUGAAUGGCAAAAUCCAUAUUUUCCAUACAGACAUGGUUGGUGCCAGCAAAGUUGAAAAGCUUCAAUAGAAAGGGUAACCACAGAUUUUAAGAUGGAAAAUGAGAAGCAACUCUGAGUUCAAUGUUUUUCACAAAUUUAAUUUCUUAAUAAGAGUUCAAGUCAUUUCUCAUAUUACAGUUACAUAAUCUUGUCUAUUUUCUAAUUGUUUUUGCAGAUCACCUCGCGGCCAUCGUUCUAGAAGUCCUAGGAGGAGAUUCUAAUGGUGUUAGCGGCUUCUCAAGGAUAGUGGAUUUCUAGUGUCUAGAAACAGUUCUGAUAGUUGUGGAUCAAUGCUAAAAUUUAACCAUGUAUUGUUGUUUUUGACAAGGAUUUGUAUUUCCUUUCUCCAUGAUAUUUAUAACUUAUCUUCGAUUAUAUGUUACUGCUAAUGGAUUGUCAAGUAUUUGCUCUUUACAUUGAGCUUUUGAUUCGGAUGGGAGCCUGGUGUGGUGUAAAGCAUGUAUUCUGUUCAGUUUCUGUGAAACAGCAUUUUCUGCCAUUAUUUAUCUGAAAGGUUUAAGGCUUGUUUGGCAUGGAGUUUUCUAAAAUCAUUCUUCUUCAAAAUUAUUUUCAACCCUUCAAUUUUAUGGAACCUAUAAUUUUUCACUUUUCAACCGUACAUUCUCCAAAAUAAUCAUUUUCAUUUCGAACAGUCUAUGCCAAACAUGCUUUUUAUAUG